rnacentral:rRNA from 1 species
CAAACCAAAGCUGGCGACCGGCGCACGGGUGAGUAACACGUAUCCAACCUGCCUCAUACUCGGGGAUAGCCUUUCGAAAGAAAGAUUAAUAUCCGAUAGCAUAUAUUUCCCGCAUGGGUUUUAUAUUAAAGAAAUUCGGUAUGAGAUGGGGAUGCGUUCCAUUAGUUUGUUGGGGGGGUAACGGCCCACCAAGACUACGAUGGAUAGGGGUUCUGAGAGGAAGGUCCCCCACAUUGGGACUGAGACACGGCCCAA